GACGAACGCUGGCGGCGUGCCUAAUACAUGCAAGUAGAACGCUGAAGAGAGGAGCUUGCUCUUCUUGGAUGAGUUGCGAACGGGUGAGUAACGCGUAGGUAACCUGCCUGGUAGCGGGGGAUAACUAUUGGAAACGAUAGCUAAUACCGCAUAAUAGUAGAUGUUGCAUGACAUUUGCUUAAAAGGUGCAAUUGCAUCACUACCAGAUGGACCUGCGUUGUAUUAGCUAGUUGGUGAGGUAACGGCUCACCAAGGCAACGAUACAUAGCCGACCUGAGAGGGUGAUCGGCCACACUGGGACUGAGACACGGCCCAGACUCCUACGGGAGGCAGCAGUAGGGAAUCUUCGGCAAUGGACGGAAGUCUGACCGAGCAACGCCGCGUGAGUGAAGAAGGUUUUCGGAUCGUA
rnacentral:rRNA from 1 species